AUUGAACGCUGGCGGCAGGCCUAACUCAUGCAAGUCGAGCGGAUGACGGGAGCUUGCUCCUUGAUUCAGCGGCGGACGGGUGAGUAAUGCCUAGGAAUCUGCCUGGUAGUGGGGGACAACGUUUCGAAAGGAACGCUAAUACCGCAUACGUCCUACGGGAGAAAGCAGGGGACCUUCGGGCCUUGCGCUAUCAGAUGAGCCUAGGUCGGAUUAGCUAGUUGGUGGGGUAAUGGCUCACCAAGGCGACGAUCCGUAACUGGUCUGAGAGGAUGAUCAGUCACACUGGAACUGAGACACGGUCCAGACUCCUACGGGAGGCAGCAGUGGGGAACAUUGGACAAUGGGCGAAAGCCUGAUCCAGCCAUGCCGCGUGUGUGAAGAAGGUCUUCGGAUUGUAAAGCACUUUAAGUUGGGAGGAAGGGCGGUAAGUUAAUACCUUGCUGUUUUGACGUUACCGACAGAAUAAGCACCGGCUAACUCUGUGCCAGCCGCCGCCGUAACAC
rnacentral:rRNA from 1 species